rnacentral:rRNA from 1 species
UACGUAGGGGGCUAGCGUUGUCCGGAAUCAUUGGGCGUAAAGCGCGCGUAGGCGGCCCGGUAAGUCCGCUGUGAAAGUCCAGGGCUCAACCCUGGAAAGCCGGUGGAUACUGCCGGGCUAGAGUCCGGAAGAGGCGAGUGGAAUUCCUGGUGUAGCGGUGGAAUGCGCAGAUAUCAGGAGGAACACCGAUGGCGAAGGCAGCUCGCUGGGACGGUACUGACGCUGAGGCGCGAAAGCCAGGGGAGCGAACGGG